ACAGAUGUAAGUGUGGUAACACAUUGAGUCGAGUGAUACUAAUAGCUCGUGAGGCUUGACCAUAUU
rnacentral:rRNA from 1 species